rnacentral:tRNA from 1 species
GCCGUGGUGUCGGAGUGGUUAACGAGUCAGACUUGAAAUCUGAUGCCUUCGGGCGCGCAGGUUCGGUAUGUUCACGUUCUUACUUCCUGCCUGUCUGAGAUCGAAUUGUCUCUAACAAUUGUGUGGGUUGUAGAAUCCUGUCCGCGGCG